rnacentral:rRNA from 1 species
UACAGAGGUCCCGAGCGUUGUUCGGAUUUAUUGGGCGUAAAGGGUGCGUAGGUGGCAAAGUAAGUUGGAUGUGAAAUCCUGGGGCUCAACCUCAGAAUUGCAUUCAAUACUGCUUAGCUAGAGAGCUGUAGAGGAGACUGGAAUUCAUGGUGUAGCAGUGAAAUGCGUAGAGAUCAUGAGGAAGACCAGUGGCGAAGGCGGGUCUCUGGACAGUUCCUGACACUGAGACACGAAGGCCAGGGGAGCAAACGGG